rnacentral:rRNA from 1 species
CAGCCGCCGCGGGAAAACGGAGGGUGCAAGCGUUAAUCGGAAUUACUGGGCGUAAAGCGCACGCAGGCGGUUUGUUAAGUCAGAUGUGAAAUCCCCGGGCUCAACCUGGGAACUGCAUUUGAAACUGGCAAGCUAGAGUCUCGUAGAGGGGGGUAGAAUUCCAGGUGUAGCGGUGAAAUGCGUAGAGAUCUGGAGGAAUACCGGUGGCGAAGGCGGCCCCCUGGACGAAGACUGACGCUCAGGUGCGAAAGCGUGGGGAGCAAACAGGAUUAGAGACCCCGGUAGUCCCUGUCUCUUAUAC